UGUACGCCACCAGUCAGACUUUCAUCUUCGCCAGCAAAGAUCUGAGAUAACGUGGCUUGAUCUUAGUACAUGUUUGCGUGUUUAUCGAUGUAAAACCCGAAAGCGGCUGAAGGCUUUGAAAAACACCCAUAAAGGUUUGCUUUGCAAAAAAUAAUAAUACGUCGUUGGAAAUGUUGGCUAAGGUUGUGACCUUUUUUUGACAGGAUAAAAAUCCCGACUUUGGUGAAGAAAGGAUACAACCACAAACGAGUACGUCACAAAUGCGCAUGCCGUUUGAUGAGGAUAUCAUGAUGCAGAAAGCAAAACUUGAGUGUCACGAUGAAGAUGAAAGCAAAACACGACUGACUGAGGGGGUGGCCGUUGAGGAUGUAAGAAAGCGUGACAUGCGAGAGGUUGACGGAGGCCUUCUGGUAGACCUCUCGUGCUCGGCUCACCGUCAGAGUCGAAGACCACGAGCUCUUCUUGAGCUGCAACUGGCUGUCCAGUGCGCCCAUCAGCGGGAGAGCACCGCCACCGCCGCCGCCG